AUUGAACGCUGGCGGCAUGCCUUACACAUGCAAGUCGAACGGUAACGGGCCUUCGGGUGCCGACGAGUGGCGAACAGGUGAGUAAUACAUCGGAACGUGCCCGAUCGUGGGGGAUAACGAGGCGAAAGCUUUGCUAAUACCGCAUACGAUCUACGGAUGAAAGCAGGGGACCGCAAGGCCUUGCGCGGACGGAGCGGCCGAUGGCAGAUUAGGUAGUUGGUGGGAUAAAAGCUUACCAAGCCGACGAUCUGUAGCUGGUCUGAGAGGAUGAUCAGCCACACUGGGACUGAGACACGGCCCAGACUCCUACGGGAGGCAGCAGUGGGGAAUUUUGGACAAUGGGCGCAAGCCUGAUCCAGCCAUGCCGCGUGCAGGAUGAAGGCCUUCGGGUUGUAAACUGCUUUUGUACGGAACGAAAAGCCUUCUUUUAAUACAGGAGGGUCAUGACGGUACCGUAAGAAUAAGCACCGGCUAACUACGUG
rnacentral:rRNA from 1 species